GCAUGGCUGAAUACUGUGUUCUCAUCAGUAGUUUACACAGCCAGACACCAUGCUAAAGAAAAGGCUUCCCUUUAAAAGGACUGUGAUGAUACACUGUUUUUUUCACAGUGUAUCAGUAUUAAAGUGACUACAAAU
ensembl:snoRNA